rnacentral:rRNA from 1 species
GAUGAACGCUGGCGGCGUGCCUAAUACAUGCAAGUCGAGCGAACAGAUAAGGAGCUUGCUCCUUUGACGUUAGCGGCGGACGGGUGAGUAACACGUGGGUAACCUACCUAUAAGACUGGGAUAACUUCGGGAAACCGGAGCUAAUACCGGAUAACAUUUGGAACCGCAUGGUUCUAAAGUGAAAGAUGGUUUUGCUAUCACUUAUAGAUGGACCCGCGCCGUAUUAGCUAGUUGGUAAGGUAACGGCUUACCAAGGCGACGUUACGUAGCCGACCUGAGAGGGUGAUCGGCCACACUGGAACUGAGACACGGUCCAGACUCCUACGGGAGGCAGCAGUAGGGAAUCUUCCGCAAUGGGCGAAAGCCUGACGGAGCAACGCCGCGUGAGUGAUGAAGGGUUUCGGCUCGUAAAACUCUGUUAUUAGGGAAGAACAAAUGUGUAAGUAACUGUGCACGUCUUGACGGUACCUAAUCAGAAAGCCACGGCUAACUACGUG